AAAGAUUAUGCCAUGCAUGUCUAAGCACAAACCUUUACACGGUGAAGCUGCGAAUGGCUCAUUAGGCCACCCAUGAUUUAUUAGAUUGUACAAUCCUACUUGGAUAACUGUGGUAAUUCUAGAGCUAAUACAUGCAAUUAAGCUCCGACCCCUUCCGGGGGAAGAGCGCGUUUAUUAGAUCAUAACCAAUCGGGUCCUCGGAUCCGUACGUUUGGUGACUCUGGAUAACUUCGAGCUGAUCGCAUGGCCUCGUGCCGGCGACGUAUCUUUCAAGUGUGUGCCCUAUCAACUGUCGAUGGUAAGUGAUAUGCUCACCAUGGUGG
rnacentral:rRNA from 1 species